AAAAAGGGCCCAAAUAAGCAUUAUUCUUGGUUUUCGCACAAUAACUUUAGUAUAAGUAAAUAGAAAUCAAUGAAAUUUAAACACAAGGUUUAUGACCACAAAAGGAAGGUUGGGAUUGAUUUUGGGAGUUUUGGUUCCAACAGUUUAGGAAUUAGGGGCCAAAAAAGGGCCCAAAUAAGCAUUAUUCUUGGUUUUCGCACAAUAACUUUAGUAUAAGUAAAUAGAAAUCAAUGAAAUUUAAACACAAGGUUUAUGACCACAAAAGGAAGGUUGGGAUUGAUUUUGGGAGUUGAGGUCCGAACAGUUUAGGAAUUAGGGGCCAAAAAGGGGCCCAAAUAAGCAUUUUUCUUGGUUUUUGCACCAUAACUUUAGUAUAAGUAAAUAGAAAUCUAUGAAAUUUAAAC
rnacentral:lncRNA from 1 species